GACGAACGCUGGCGGCGUGCCUAAUACAUGCAAGUAGAACGCACAGUUUAUACCGUGGCUUGCUACACCAUAGACUGUGAGUUGCGAACGGGUGAGUAACGCGUAGGUAACCUGCCUGGUAGCGGGGGAUAACUAUUGGAAACGAUAGCUAAUACCGCAUAAUAUUAAUUAUUGCAUGAUAAUUAAUUGAAAGGUGCAAUUGCACCACUACCAGAUGGACCUGCGUUGUAUUAGCUAGUAGGUGAGGUAACGGCUCACCUAGGCGACGAUACAUAGCCGACCUGAGAGGGUGAUCGGCCACACUGGGACUGAGACACGGCCCAGACUCCUACGGGAGGCAGCAGUAGGGAAUCUUCGGCAAUGGACGAAAGUCUGACCGAGCAACGCCGCGUGAGUGAAGAAGGGUGUCGGAUCGUAAAGCUCGGUUGUAAGAGAAGAACGGGUGUGAGAGUGGAAAGUUCACACUGUGACGGUAUCUUACCAGAAAGGGACGGCUAACUACGUG
rnacentral:rRNA from 1 species